rnacentral:rRNA from 1 species
GUGAGGAAUUUUCCGCAAUGGGCGAAAGCCUGACGGAGCAAUGCCGCGUGAAGGAUGAAGGCCUAUGGGUUGUAAACUUCUUUUCUCAGAAAAGAAUUAUGACGGUAUCUGAGGAAUAAGCAUCGGCUAACUCUGUGCCAGCAGCCGCGGUAAGACAGAGGAUGCAAGCGUUAUCCGGAAUGAUUGGGCGUAAAGCGUCUGUAGGUUGUUUAAAAAGUAUUCUGUCAAAGAUUAGGGCUUAACCCUAGAUAGGCAGAAUAAACUUUUAAGCUAGGGUUUGGUAGAGGCAGAGGGAAUUCCCGGUGGAGCGGUGAAAUGCGUAGAUAUCGGGAGGAACACCAAAGGCGAAGGCACUCUGCUGGGCCAAUACUAACACUGAGAGACGAAAGCGAGGGGAGCAAAUGGGAUUAGAAACCCGAGUAGUCC